rnacentral:rRNA from 1 species
CCUACGGGAGGCAGCAGUAAGGAAUAUUGGUCAAUGGACGCAAGUCUGAACCAGCCAUGCCGCGUGAAGGAUGAAGGUCCUUUGGAUUGUAAACUUCUUUUAUAUGGGACGAAACCCGGGCAUUCCUGCCCGAUUGACGGUACCAUAGGAAUAAGCACCGGCUAACUCCGUGCCAGCAGCCGCGGUAAUACGGAGGGUGCAAGCGUUAUCCGGAUUCACUGGGUUUAAAGGGUGCGUAGGAGGGUAGGUAAGUCAGUGGUGAAAUCUCCGGGCUCAACUCGGAAACUGCCGUUGAUACUAUCUGUCUUGAAUACCGUGGAGGUGAGCGGAAUAUGUCAUGUAGCGGUGAAAUGCUUAGAUAUGACAUAGAACACCGAUUGCGAAGGCAGCUCACUACACGAAUAUUGACUCUGAGGCACGAAAGCGUGGGGAUCAAACAGGAUUAGAUACCCUGGUAGUCCACGCCCUAAACUAUGGAUACUCGACAUACGCGAUACACUGUGUGUGUCUGAGCGAAAGCAUUAAGUAUCCCACCUGGGAAGUACGACCGCAAGGUUGAAACUCAAAGGAAAUUGACGGAC